UGGGGGAUAUUGCACAAUGGGCGAAAGCCUGAUGCAGCGACGCCGCGUGGGGGAUGAAGGCUUUCGGGUUGUAAACCUCUUUCGCUAUCGAACAAGGCCCGCUUAGGGUGGGUUGAGGGUAGGUGGAGAAGAAGCGCCGGCUAACUACGUGCCAGCAGCCGCGGUAAUACGUAGGGCGCGAGCGUUGUCCGGAAUUAUUGGGCGUAAAGGGCUUGUAGGCGGCUUGUUGCGCCUGCUGUGAAAACGCGGGGCUUAACUUCGCGCGUGCAGUGGGUACGGGCAGGCUUGAGGGUGGUAGGGGUGACUGGAAUUCCAGGUGGAGCGGUGGAAUGCGCAGAUAUCUGGAGGAACACCGAUGGCGAAGGCAGGUCACUGGGCCAUUACUGACGCUGAGGAGCGAAAGCAUGGGUAGCGAACAGG
rnacentral:rRNA from 1 species